rnacentral:rRNA from 1 species
UCUGUAGGCGGUGCGGCAAGUCGGGAGUGAAAUUUCUGGGCUUAACUCAGAAGCUGCUUCCGAAACUGCCGUGCUGGAGUGCGGGAGAGGUGAGUGGAAUUGCAGGUGUAGCGGUGAAAUGCGUAGAUAUCUGCAGGAACACCAGAGGCGAAGGCGGCUCACUGGACCGCAACUGACGCUGAGAGACGAAAGCUAGGGGAGCAAGCAGGAUUAGAUACCCUGGUAGUCCUAGCCCUAAACGAUCAGGACUUGGCGUGGGUCCCGUACGGGGCUCGUGUCGGAGCUAACGUGUUAAGUCCUGCGCCUGGGGAGUACGGUCGCAAGGCUGAA